rnacentral:misc_RNA from 1 species
AUAGAGAGCAUGUGCCGCGGAAGAGUGGACAAACCACUUACGUGCAUGAAAAUAUGCAUGGACGUGGGAACAAAUUAGAAGUGGAGGUCAUGUGCGGCUUGCCAAGUGGAGCGCACCAUGAAAUCUAAAGUGGCCAGCAUGUGUUACGGCAAGUGGAGAGGGACACUUUCUAAUACAUGGGAAAAGUGGUGCGUGAAACCAAAGGGAGCCAAAUGAAGUGCCGCCCAUGUGAAACUUGCAAGGUGGGGCGCAUGUGGAAGCCAAAGUGGCCCAAG